UCCCGGCCUAUCAGCUUGUUGGUGGGGUAGUGGCUUACCAAGGCUUUGACGGGUAGCCGGCCUGACAGGGUGACCGGCCACAUUGGGACUGACAUACGGCCCAUACUCCUACGGGAGGCCCCCUUGGGGAAUAUUGCACAAUGGGCGGAAGCCUGAUGCAGCAACGCCGCGUGCGGGAUGACGGCCUUCGGGUUGUAAACCGCUUUCGCCUGUGACGAAGCGUGAGUGACCCCUUUGGGUAAAGAAGCACCGGCUAACUACUUGCCAUCAGCCGCGGAGAUACGUAAGGUGCGAGCGUUGUCCGGAUUUAUUGGGCGUAAAGGGCUCGUACGUGGUUGAUCACCUCCGAAGGGUAAUCUUGGGGCUUAACCCUGACCGUGCUUUCUAUACCGGUUGACUUGACGAAGGUAAGGGAGAAUGGAAUUCCUGGUGGAGCGGUGGAAUGCGCAGAUAUCAAGAGGAACACCAGUGGCGAAGGCGGUUCUCUGGGCCUUUCCAGACGCUGACGAGCGAAAGCGUGUGGAGCGAACAUGCUUAAAUACCCUGGUAGUCCACGCUGUGGACCGUGGGUACUAGGUGUGGGGUCCAUUCCACGGGUUCCGUGCCGUACCUAACGCUUUAAGUACCCCGCCUGGGGAGUACGG
rnacentral:rRNA from 1 species